rnacentral:misc_RNA from 1 species
AAGUCGUAACAAGGUUUCCGUAGGUGAACCUGCGGAAGGAUCAUUAUUGAAACAAGGGGUCGCUCCGGCGAGCCCUGCGCCGACGGAGACGUCGUGCCGCGGGCUCCCGGGCGGCUUCGUCCACCCUCACACCCCUGUGCACCUUUGGGAAGGCGGGUCUCUGUGCCCGUCGGCCCGCUCACAAACUCUUGUAAUGUACUUAACGAAUGUCAUCGCGGACUUUGAGCCGCUUAAAGCAGUAACAACUUUCAACAACGGAUCUCUUGGCUCUC